AACAGGAUUAGAUACCCUGGUAGUCCAUGCCGUAAACGUUGGGCGCUAGGUGUGGGGUCCAUUCCACGGAUUCCGUGCCGCAGCUAACGCAUUAAGCGCCCCGCCUGGGGAGUACGGCCGCAAGGCUAAAACUCAAAGGAAUUGACGGGGGCCCGCACAAGCGGCGGAGCAUGCGGAUUAAUUCGAUGCAACGCGAAGAACCUUACCAAGGCUUGACAUGCGCGGUGGAAUCCCAGAGAUGGGGUGUCAUUUAGUUGGUCGCGUACAGGUGGUGCAUGGUUGUCGUCAGCUCGUGUCGUGAGAUGUUGGGUUAAGUCCCGCAACGAGCGCAACCCUCGUUCCAUGUUGCCAGCACGUAAUGGUGGGGACUCAUGGGAGACUGCCGGGGUCAACUCGGAGGAAGGUGGGGAUGACGUCAAAUCAUCAUGCCCCUUAUGUCUUGGGCUUCACGCAUGCUACAAUGGCCAGUACAGAGGGCUGCGAUACCGUGAGGUGGAGCGAAUCCCAAAAAGCUGGUCUCAGUUCGGAUCGGGGUCUGCAACUCGACCCCGUGAAGUCGGAGUCGCUAGUAAUCGCAGAUCAGCAACGCUGCGGUGAAUACGUUCCCGGGCCUUGUACACACCGCCCGUCACGUCAUGAAAGUCGGUAACACCCGAAGCCGGUGGCCCAACCCGUAUGGGGGGGAGCUGUCGAAGGUGGGACUGGCGAUUGGGACGAAGUCGUAACAAGGUAACC
rnacentral:rRNA from 1 species